rnacentral:rRNA from 1 species
AGUGAACGCUGGCGGUAGGCCUAACACAUGCAAGUCGAACGGCAGCACAGUAAGAGCUUGCUCUUACGGGUGGCGAGUGGCGGACGGGUGAGGAAUACAUCGGAAUCUACUUUUUCGUGGGGGAUAACGUAGGGAAACUUACGCUAAUACCGCAUACGACCUACGGGUCAAAGCAGGGGAUCUUCGGACCUUGCGCGAUUGAAUGAGCCGAUGUCGGAUUAGCUAGUUGGCGGGGUAAAGGCCCACCAAGGCGACGAUCCGUAGCUGGUCUGAGAGGAUGAUCAGCCACACUGGAACUGAGACACGGUCCAGACUCCUACGGGAGGCAGCAGUGGGGAAUAUUGGACAAUGGGCGCAAGCCUGAUCCAGCCAUACCGCGUGGGUGAAGAAGGCCUUUGGGUUGUAAAGCCCUUUUGUUGGGAAAGAAAAGCAGCAGGUUAAUACCCCGCUGUUCGGACGGUACCCAAAGAAUAAGCACCGGCUAACUUCGU